GACGAACGCUGGCGGCGUGCUUAACACAUGCAAGUCGAACGAGUGGCGAACGGGUGAGUAACACGUGGGUGAUCUGCCUUGCACUUCGGGAUAACCUUUGGACACUGGGUCUAAUACCGGAUAGUGCAAAAUUAGCUCGCGGCCUAUCAGCUUGUUGGUUGGGUAAUUGCUCCCAAGGCGCGACGGUUAGCCGGCCUGAGAGGGUGUACGGGAACAUUGGGACUGAGAUACGGACCAGACUCCUACGGGAGGCAGCAGUGGGGAAUAUUGCACAAUGGGCGGAAGCCUGAUGCAGCGACGCCGCGUGGGGGAUGAAGGCUUUCGGGUUAUAAACUCCUUUCGACAGGGACGCGGUACCUGUAUAAGAAGCACCGGCUAACUACGUGCCAGCCGCCGCGGUAAUUC
rnacentral:rRNA from 1 species